UACAGAGGUCCCAAGCGUUGUUCGGAUUCACUGGGCGUAAAGGGUGCGUAGGUGGCAAGGUAAGUUUGAUGUGAAAUCUCCGAGCUUAACUCGGAAACUGCAUUGAAUACUAUCUUGCUUGAGGGUUGGAGGGGGGACUGGAAUUCUCGGUGUAGCAGUGAAAUGCGUAGAUAUCGAGAGGAACACCAGUGGCGAAGGCGAGUCCCGGGACAACACCUGACACUGAGGCACGAAAGCUAGGGGAGCGAACGGG
rnacentral:rRNA from 1 species